CUGUAAUCGGGAUAUUCGAAAACUUCCUGCUGAGCACUAUAUUAAAACACACAUUGCCGUGGAACAAGUAUAGGGGUACAGAAGUCUCCAGGUGACGUAGAUUUUACUCAGCAUCUGGCCCGCACACUUAAGCCUAUUUUCAUUUUUAUUCUGGACAUUCAAUAGAUAUUGAAUACCAUUAUAUUGUUAGGAUGAAGAUGUUUCAUGUUGUUCGUUCAGGAUAUUUCAAUUACUCAAUAUUUUGAUAUCCGGUGACUGGAACACAGUCAAUGGUUUUCGCAGUGUUUAUGGUUUUUGCUAUAUUGUUAUGUUAUGACAAAUGGAGUCGUCGGCCCUAUGAAACAUUAGCUAACA